rnacentral:snRNA from 1 species
ACCCCUGUUUUUGGUCCCA